AAGUGUUACAGCUCUUUUAGAAUUUGUCUAGCAGGUUUUCCAGUCUCUACUGGAAGACCCAC
ensembl:snRNA U7 U7 small nuclear RNA